GACAGAGGCCACAAGCGUUAGGCGGAAUCACUGGGCUUAAAGCGUGUGUAGGCGGAACGUUGAGUGCUUUGUGAAAUCCCACGGCUCACCCGUGGAAUUGCUUGGCAUACUGGCGUUCUUGAGCCAUCUAGGGGCAGCUGGAACAAACGGUGGAGCGGUGAAAUGCGUAGAUAUCGUUUGGAACGCCUAAGGUGAAAACAGGCUGCUGGGGAUGUGCUGACGCUGAGACACGAAAGCCAGGGGAGCAAACGGG
rnacentral:rRNA from 1 species